GAUGAAGAACGUAGCGAAAUGCGAUAAGUAAUGUGAAUUGCAGAAUUCAGUGAAUCAUCGAAUCUUUGAACGCACCUUGCGCCCUUUGGCUAUUCCGAAGGGCAUGCCUGUUUGAGUAUCAUGAACACCUCAACUCUCAUGGGUUUGCCAUGAUGAGCUUGGACUUGGGGGUUUUGCUGGCCUUCGGACGGCUCCUCUCAAACGGAUCAGCUUUCCAGUGUUUGGUGGCAUCACGGGUGUGAUAACUAUCUACGCCUGUGGUUUUCUGCCAGAUAACCUUCAGCGAUGGAGGUUCGCUGGGGCUCAUAAAUGUCUCUCUUCAGUGGAGACAGCUUUUUGGACGUUUGAUCUCAAAUCAGGUAGGACUACCCGCUGAACUUAAGCAUAUCAAUAAGCGGAGGA
rnacentral:misc_RNA from 1 species